rnacentral:rRNA from 1 species
UGGGGAAUAUUGGACAAUGGGGGGAACCCUGAUCCAGCAAUGCCGCGUGUGUGAAGAAGGCCUUCGGGUUGUAAAGCACUUUCAGCAGGGAGGAAAGGUGCGUAGUUAAUAGCCGCGCAAUUGACGUUACCUGCAGAAGAAGCACCGGCUAACUCCGUGCCAGCAGCCGCGGUAAUACGGAGGGUGCGAGCGUUAUUCGGAAUUACUGGGCGUAAAGCGCACGCAGGCGGUUGCCCAAGUCAGAUGUGAAAGCCCCGGGCUUAACCUGGGAACUGCAUUUGAAACUGGGCGACUAGAGUAUGAAAGAGGAAAGCGGAAUUUCCAGUGUAGCAGUGAAAUGCGUAGAUAUUGGAAGGAACACCGAUGGCGAAGGCAGCUUUCUGGGUCGAUACUGACGCUCAUGUGCGAAAGCGUGGGGAGCAAACAGGAUUAGAUACCCUGGUAGUCCACGCCCUAAACGAUGUCAACUAGGUGUUGGGUUGUUGAAGACUCGGUACCGGAGCUAACGCAUUAAGUUGACCGCCUGGGGAGUACGGCCGCAAGGUUG